GGCCUUUCCCCGGGAAACACACAAUUACACGCAGAUGCAUUUAGGGGUUUAUUUAAUAAAUGCAAAAUUGUGCUGAAUUGAAAACGAAAUUGGAAAAUUUAUGCUACAUAGCCAAGCUGGGACUAUAGCAGAGUCUAAUAUUUCUUUCAUAUCAGCUAUUUGAGCCUAAAUAUUGUAAUUCAGUGUUUAGUGAAUACUCCCAGUAUGUUAGUCAUUUAAAGGGAAACUAAAGUGCCAGAUAAACAGACUUGUUUUCCUGGCACUGUAGCUUCCUCCCCGUGUUACUUACCUCGGUCCAGCGCCCACGCUCCUACCCCAUUGGCGGGGGAAAGACC